UUGACCUCGGAUCAGGUAGGAAUACCCGCUGAACUUAAGCAUAUCACUAAGCGGAGGACAAGACACCAACUGGCAUUGCAUUAGUAACGGCGAGUGAAGCAACUACAGCUCAUAUAUGAAAUCUGGCUUCGACCCGAGUUGUAAUUUGUAUAGGAUGCUUUUGGUGAGGUGCCUUCUGAGUUCUCUGAAACGGAACGCUAGAGAGGUUGAGAGUGCCGUAUAGUCAAGCACCGAUCGUAUGUAACGCUCCUUCGACGAGUCGAGUACUGUGGGAAUGCUGCUCUAAAAGUCACGUAUAUCGCUUCUACAGCUACAUAUUGACAUACGUCCGAUAGCGCACGUGUAUAGUGAUCGAACGAUGAAAAGCACUUUGAAAAGAGGGUUAAAUAGCACGUGAAAUUGUUGAAAGGGAAGCGCUUGUGACCAGACUUGUGCCGGGCUGAUCAUCCAGUGUUCUCACUGGUGCACUCGACCCGGCUCAGGCCAGCGUCGGUUCUCGUAGGGGGAUAAAAGCUUCGGGAACGUGGCACCUUCGGGUGUGUUAUAGCCCGUUGCUUAAUACCCUUGUGGGGACCGAGGUUCGCGCUCUGCAAGGACGCUGGCAUAAUGGUCAUCAGCGACCCGUCUUGAAACACGGACCACGG
rnacentral:rRNA from 1 species